GAUGAACGCUGGCGGCGUGCCUAAUACAUGCAAGUCGAGCGAACAGACGCGGAGCUUGCUCCUCUGACGUUAGCGGCGGACGGGUGAGUAACACGUGGAUACCCUACCUAUAAGACUGGGAUCACUUCGGGACACCGGCGCUAAUACCGGAUAAUAUAUUGAACCGCAUGGUUCAAUAGUGAAAGACGGUUUUGCUGUCACUUAUAGCUGGUUCCGCGCCGCAUUAGCUAGUUGGUAAGGUAACGGCCUACCAAGGCAACGAUGCGUAGCCGACCUGAGAGGGUGAUCGGCCGCACUGGAACUGAGACACGGUCCAGACUCCUACGGGAGGCAGCAGAAGGGAAUCGGCCGCAAUGGGCGAAAGCCUGACGGAGCGACGCCGCGUGAGUGGUGAAGGUCUUCGGAUCGUAAAACUCUGUUAUGAGGGAAGAACAAAUGUGUAAGUAACUAUGCACGUCGUGACGGUACCGAAUCAGAAAGCCACGGCUAACUACGUG
rnacentral:rRNA from 1 species